GCUUUCGCCGCUACACUGGGACCGUCGGGCUGUGCCGGCGCCGCACCCGAAGCGAUAGCGGGCUCCGCGCUCAGGUGCUCAGGUGAUAUGCAAUUGAACUUGAGAUGAAUAACAUCUUUGGGAGAAUUGUUGACAUAUAGUAACUCCACAGCAUGUGGCCCCAGGAACUACCCUAAAUG